rnacentral:rRNA from 1 species
UACGUACGAGGCGAGCGUUAUCCGGAAUUACUGGGCGUAAAGCGCGCGCAGGUGGCUUGCUAAGUCGGACGUGAAAUCUCCCGGCCUAACUGGGAGGGGUCGUCCGAGACUGGCCGGCUUGAGGCUGGCAGAGGUAGGUGGAAUUCCUGGUGUAGCGGUGAAAUGCGUAGAUAUCGGGAGGAACACCAGUGGCGAAGGCGGUUGCCUGGGGCUUUGCUGACGCUGAUGCGCGAAAGCGUGGGGAGCGAUCCGG